UAGGGAAUCUUCCACAAUGGGCGCAAGCCUGAUGGAGCAACACCGCGUGAGUGAAGAAGGGUUUCGGCUCGUAAAGCUCUGUUGUUAAAGAAGAACACGUAUGAGAGUAACUGUUCAUACGUUGACGGUAUUUAACCAGAAAGUCACGGCUAACUACGUGCGAG
rnacentral:rRNA from 1 species